UCGUUUUUCUUUCUUCUUCAGCCAUGAAACUGAGAGAGGAGAUCGAGACAGAGAAGAUUAAUGGAAGAUGGUUGAAGAUAGCAAUGACCACCUCCUUCUUCUUUUUUUCCUUUUUUUCUUCCCUUCUUCGUUUUUCUUUCUUCUUCAGCCAUGAAACUGAGAGAGGAGAUCGAGACAGAGAAGAUUAAUGGAAGAUGAUUGAAGAUAGAAAUGAUUGAGGAUAGAAAUUGAGAAGGAUUCAAAGUAGAAGAUGUGAAUGCUGCCAUUGAUUAACAACAUGAAGAAUGGAAAUGGUCGCUGCUGUUUGAAGUGAAGAGUUAGGGUUUUGCAGCGGAAUUCGAAAUUAAUUGAAGAAUUGAAUUCAGGGUUUGAGAAUUUGAGGGUUUUAUGAGUCUUGAUGUUACGGAAAAGAAGAUGUGGUUCUCUGUUAACAGAGAGAAGGGUUGAGGAACUCAAACCGGUGAUGUGGAAAUCAGAGAGAUGGGUUCGAUGUUGUUACCAUGGUAAUUAUCAAGGAAUGGGGAUGUUGUCAAACUAAGAGAAGAACGAAGAUCCCGGGUUGUGUAAUUUAUGGGUUUUGUUUAACGAAGAUGAUGGAGAUGUUGUUGUGUAACGACGGGGUUGAAAUUGAAGAACUGAAGAUGAAAUUAAUCUUAGCUAUAUUGGGAUUUCACUUAAUUCUGCUAGAUCAGUGCUUGAUCAUAUACAGGGAGAUGAUUUGCAUAUCAGUUUUUAUUAUAUCGACACAAAUCUUAAUGCGUAUGCGAUAUAUACUGCUCAGGCCAAUGCGAAUCCAAGUCCAGUUGUUCAAGUAUAUCAACCAUAGUUUGUGAAAAUUGCGAAGGAAAUGGUGCUGUGAGUUGCUCGCAGUGUGAAGGUAAUGGGGUGAAUUUUGUUGACCACUCUGACAGACAGUUGAAGGCAGGUGGUUUAGGUUAGCUUUGCAGGACAUGCUCAUUGCUGGAACCGAUGCAUCUUCUUCGACGCUUGUGUGGGAAAUGACAGAACUAAUUAGGAGUCCAAUGGUGAUGGAAAGAGUGCAAGAGGAAGUGAGAAGAAUUCUCGGCAAUAAAAACAUGGUACAUGAAAUUGAUCUUCCCAAACUGAACUACUUGAAAUCGGUGGUAAAAGAGACAUUGCGGAUUCAUCCUCCAGGACCAUUACUAGUUCCAAGGGAAACUAGAGAUGACUGCUUAAUAAACGGGUACAACAUCCCAGCCAAAACAAAGGUAUUCUUUAAUGCAAAAGCUAUUGCAAUGGACCCCUAAGUUUUUGGAAGACCUUGAAGAGUUCCGACCAGAAAGAUUCAUAACUAAGAACAUAGAAUUUAAAGGGCAAGACUUUGAGAUGGUACCAUUUGGGAUUGGACGGAGGGGUUGCCCUGGUAUUGACUCUGCUUUGGUCAUAAUUAAACUUGUUCUUGCAAAUAUUCUCUACUGUUUUAACUGGGAAUUGCCCCUUGGAGUGAAAAAGGAAGAAAUCGAUAUGCAAGAAGCUCCUGGUAUCGCAUUGCACAAGAAGAUUCCACUCUUAUUGGUUUCUACCGCUCCAAAUGUAUAUCCAAGUGCAUAAGAAGUUGGGAGGCAGCUCAUCAAAGGAGGCUUGGGUGAUGCCUAAAUAAAGGCAUUUCAAGACGCACGAGUUAAAUUUAGUACCCCGCAAAAUUGGAAGAACAUUUUUCUCAAUAAGAAGGCUUGCUAUUAGCCGAUCCAAACUAUUUCUAUGUAGUGGAAUGUCUUGCUUGUAAGGUGAUAACAUUCUAAGCACAAGAUCACGCAUGGUAUCAUCUUCUAAGCACAAGAUCACGCACGGUAUCAUCCAUGUCUUGCCAUCAGAUCGCUUGUGUUUUGUUAUUUUUUCAACAAUCUUUAUAUUUUACAAAUGACCAAAUUACAACUCAAAGAACUUUAC